rnacentral:rRNA from 1 species
GAUGAACGCUGGCGGCAUGCCUAAUACAUGCGAGUCGAACGAGAGGAAGGAAAGCUUGCUUUUCUGAAUCUAGUGGCGAACGGGUGAGUAACACGUAGGUAACCUGCCCAUGUGCCCGGGAUAACUUCUGGAAACGGAUGCUAAAACCGGAUAGGUAGCAGACAAGCAUUUGACUGCUAUUAAAGUGGCUAAGGCCAUGAACAUGGAUGGACCUGCGGUGCAUUAGCUAGUUGGUGAGGUAACGGCCCACCAAGGCGACGAUGCAUAGCCGGCCUGAGAGGGCGGACGGCCACAUUGGGACUGAGACACGGCCCAAACUCCUACGGGAGGCAGCAGUAGGGAAUUUUCGUCAAUGGGGGGAACCCUGAACGAGCAAUGCCGCGUGAGUGAGGAAGGUCUUCGGAUCGUAAAGCUCUGUUGUAAGAGAAAAACGACAUUCAUAGGGAAUGAUGAGUGAGUGAUGGUAUCUUACCAGAAAGUCACGGCUAACUACGUGCCAGCAGCCGCCGUAAUAC